GGCAGUAUGGUGCAGUGGUUAGUACCCUUUCUUCUUGUGGCUGAUGCCUCGAAAGAGUCUUUGGUUCAACUCCAAAGCUGCCA